rnacentral:rRNA from 1 species
CGGCAACAGCUCAAAUUUGAAACCUGGCGCAAGCCCGGAUUGUAAUUUGUAGAGGAUGCUUCUGGGCAGCGGCCGUUCUAAGUUCCUUGGAACAGGACGUCAUAGAGGGUGAGAAUCCCGUAUGUGACCGGCGCGCACCCUUCACGUAGCUCCUUCGACGAGUCGAGUUGUUUGGGAAUGCAGCUCUAAAUGGGAGGUAAAUUUCUUCUAAAGCUAAAUAUUGGCCAGAGACCGAUAGCGCACAAGUAGAGUGAUCGAAAGAUGAAAAGCACUUUGGAAAGAGAGUUAAAAAGCACGUGAAAUUGUUGAAAGGGAAGCGCUUCCAACCAGACUCCGCGGCGGUGUUCCGCCGGUCUUCUGACCGGUCUACUCGCCGCCGUGGGGCCAACAUCGUCUGGGGCCGCUGGAUAAGACCGGAGGAAUGUAGCUCAUUGAGUGUUAUAGCCUCCGGUGAUGCGGCGCGUCCCGGGCGAGGUCCGCGCUUCGGCAAGGAUGUUGGCGUAAUGGUUGGCAGCGGCCCGUCUUGAAACACGGACCAAGGAGUCUAACAUCUAUGCGAGUGUUCGGGUGUCAAACCCCUACGCGUAAUGAAAGUGAACGGAGGUGGGAACCGCAAGGUGCACCAUCGACCGAUCCUGAUGUCCUCGGAUGGAUUUGAGUAAGAGCAUAGCUGUUGGGACCCGAAAGAUGGUGAACUAUGCCUGAAUAGGGUGAAGCCAGAGGAAACUCUGG